GACGAACGCUGGCGGCGUGCUUAACACAUGCAAGUCGAACGGAAAGGCCCUGCUUUUGUGGGGUGCUCGAGUGGCGACCGGGUGAGUAACACGUGCGUAACCUGCCCUUGCCUUUGGGAUAACUUCAGGAAACUGGGGCUAAUUCCGGUUAGGAGCUCCUGCUGCAUGGUGGGGGUUGGAAAGUUUCGGCGGUGGUGGAUGUACUCGCGGCUUAUCAGCUUGUUGGUGGGGUAGUGGCUUACCACGGCUUUGACGGGUAGCCGGCCUGAGAGGGUGACCGGCCACAUUGGGACUGAGAUACGGCCCAGACUCCUACGGGAGGCAGCAGUGGGGAAUAUUGCACAAUGGGCGGAAGCCUGAUGCAGCAACGCCGCGUGCGGGAUGACGGCCUUCGGGUUGUAAACCGCUUUCGCCUGUGACGAAGCGUGAGUGACGGUAAUGGGUAAAGAAGCACCGGCUAACUACGUG
rnacentral:rRNA from 1 species